GAUGAACGCUGGCGGCGUGCUUAACACAUGCAAGUCGAACGGUGAAGGCGGAGCUUGCUCUGCUGGAUCAGUGGCGAACGGGUGAGUAACACGUGAGCAAUCUGCCCCUGACUCUGGGAUAAGCGCUGGAAACGGCGUCUAAUACUGGAUACGAGCUGCGAAGGCAUCUUCAGCAGCUGGAAAGAACUUCGGUCAGGGAUGAGCUCGCGGCCUAUCAGCUUGUUGGUUGGGUAACGGCUCACCAAGGCGUCGACGGGUAGCCGGCCUGGGAGGGUGACCGGCCACACUGGGACUGAGAGACGGCCCAGACUCCUACGGGAGGCAGCAGUGGGGAAUAUUGCACAAUGGGCGAAAGCCUGAUGCAGCAACGCCGCGUGAGGGACGACGGCCUGCGGGUUGUAAACCUCUUUUGGCAGGGAAGAAGCGAAAGUGACGGUACCUGCAGAAAAAGCGCCGGCUAACUACGUG
rnacentral:rRNA from 1 species